rnacentral:tRNA from 1 species
GGAUCGAUAGCUCAGUCGGUAGAGCAGCUGACUCUUAAUCAGCGGGUCGGGAGUUCGAGCCUCCCUCGAUCCACCA